UUAUGUUCGUUCACUACUUUCGUCCCCUACAAAUUCGUCGCGUGAUAUGCCUAAAUGUAGGGUACAGAAGCUGUACACUACUUGGACUAACCUUGACCAUAAUGCAUUGCGGACCAUCGCGAUUCCCGGGAAAAGUCAAAACAGCCGUCUCUGUAGCCUGCCAGCUGACAAGACGGACAACUCUCUACAAAUGGUCUGAUGAGGACAUUGGCCGCCUCAAGCUGAGGUAGAACAAGAAGAGGAUCUUCUCCAGCAAAAGGAAUGCUGCCCAGCAUGGAUGGAAGGUUAUCCUGAAGGAGAUGGGGCUGGAAGCAGUGGUAGAACCUAAACAAACCCCCUACAAAGAGCUCAAAAAGCCCCCACUGGGCAUCGUGGACUGACCCUGGGUAGCCAACACAAAUGUCAAGAAACAGCCCCUUGUUGUUGCAUACUGCCUGUAGUUAAAAUGGAAAAAUGUUUUCUAUUUAAAUUGCAUGACUGAUCUUGUGAUGGAGGCUUGAUGCGAACAUGGCAGCCAUCAAUGCUGUAAUGGGCA